GCGAGAGUGGCGGAAUUGGUAUACGCACUGGAUUUAGGAUCCAGCGCCUCUGGCUUGGGGGUUCAACUCCCCCCUCUCGCACCA
rnacentral:tRNA from 2 species